rnacentral:rRNA from 1 species
GAAUAUUGGACAAUGGGCGAAAGCCUGAUCCAGCCAUGCCGCGUGUGUGAAGAAGGUCUUCGGAUUGUAAAGCACUUUAAGUUGGGAGGAAGGGAUGUAGAUUAAUACUCUGCAAUUUUAACGUUACCGACAGAAUAAGCACCGGCUAACUUCGGGCCAGCAGCCGCGGUAAUACGAAGGGUGCAAGCGGUAAUCGGAAUGACUGGGCGUAAAGCGCGCGUAGGUGGUUCGGUAAGUUGGAUGUGAAAUCCCCGGGCUCAACCUGGGAACUGCAUCCAAAACUGGCGAGCUAGAGUAGGGCAGAGGGUGGUGGAAUUUCCUGUGUAGCGGUGAAAUGCGUAGAUAUAGGAAGGAACACCAGUGGCGAAGGCAACCCCCUGGGCCUGUACUGACGCUCAUGCACGAAAGCGUGGGGAGCAAACAGG